rnacentral:misc_RNA from 1 species
GUGAAUCAUCGAAUUUUUGAACGCAUAUUGCACUCUCUGGUAUUCCGGAGAGUAUGCCUAUUUGAGGGUCAUUUAAAAUAAUAUCCAUUCUAAUGUUUCUCGGAAUUUACAAGGGUUUGUAUUUUGUUGUUUGUCGCUUAAGAACCAAGUCAAGCUCAUUGUAUUAGGUUGCAUCUUACUUUAAGUUACCUCGUACUUUGAACAGUAAUCAUCGUGCUG